GCUCAACUAAGCACUUGGUUCAAUUGUGUCAUCAGGACAUUGGAAAGUAAAGAGUGUUUGCAUUGCAAGUGACAUCUGGCUGACAGGAACUUGGAGAAAUGGGAUACGAAGUGAAUGCUGCAGUUACCACAAGCAUCAUAUUUAUCAAAAGGUUUAAGAUUCAAGAGAAAUGACAAAAAGACUGAGAAUCUCUGAGGUCCUUGGGUUUCCAGAGGUAUUCCUGCAAGGAACAGUCAAGCAGCAUCAAACCUUCAGACCUUCUGAAACAGCCUGGUUCCUCCCAGCACUGGGUCUGGUUCUG
rnacentral:lncRNA from 1 species